rfam:Synergistes sp. 3_1_syn1 genomic scaffold supercont1.8, whole genome shotgun sequence.
AAAAGUAAAAGGCAAACCCGUCGAAAGACGGAGCGCGCAAAGCUAUAGGGUCUUACCCCGUCAGGGAUGACAGCCAGUUACCUUC